GCGAAAGUGUUGUAGUGGUAGCAUAUCCUGGUUCCACCGGGAUGGCGGUGGUUUGAUUCCAUCCUUUCGCUCCA
rnacentral:tRNA from 1 species